CACGCACGUCACUGCCUCUCUCCUUCUCCCUUUUCUUUUCCUUUUCUUCCUCUUUCUCUCCUUCUCCUCUCUGUUCUCCCGCACAUCACAGCAGCCCCUCCCCUGUUCCAACACCUGAUUCCCUCUCCCUUUUUCCUUCUCUUCCAUUUUCUUCCUCUCCUCGUCUCACUGCCAUGCACGCACACGUACACCAGCCCAUGAGAGAUUGAGAGAGUGAGACGCAGAGAUGGAGAGACCCGUGAGCAAAACCCGUUGAACAGUGCACGAAGCCGACAAAUAGCGGUUCCAGUGGUGAUUUCGGCGAAGCAAAGCUGAAACCCGACGGCUUGAAGGUCGAUUUCCGGCGGAACCCGACGAACCCAGGAGCUCCGAUCGGGAAGACCCGUGACCCAGUGAUCCGUGACCCGAGACCCAUGAAACCCGACCAUCUAUGAGCGGUUUCCGGCGAGUUUUCCGGCGACCCAGUGAGGGAUUUCCGACGAUUUCUAAUGGAUUUUCUAUGGAAUUUCUAGGGAUCAUGUUCGGAUUGGAAACUUUAAUUGGUUCUCCAAUGUAGAGUCCAAGUGACUAGAGUCCAAGGAGUGUUCGAGUUGGAGUCCAAUGCAGCCAAGAUGAUGUUUCUUUGGCUGCAGGUACUUCGGUAUAGUCGAUGGGUUGGUAGCAGUGUGCUUGGGAUGUUAUGACUGAAGCUCGCCGCGACAGUUGUAAUUGUCGGACCACGGGUUGUCCACUAUUAUAUAGGUUUGGUAUGGCUUGUGACGUUUGUGUCACUUAUUCUUUGUUAAGCCAUUAUUGUUAUAGUGUUAAUAAGACUCGAACAGAUAGAUAUUAAAUGGCUCUUUGUUGUAAUUAACUUGUGAUAGAUGUAUAAGUUGUAAUUUCCGCUAUUCAGAUUUAUGUUUUCCGCUGCAUAGAUAGAUGUAUGUUAUACUCUGAUUAUCAGGUACAUGUUAUGGGGCAUGUGCCAUAUGUUGGCUGAGCGACA